UACGUAGGGUGCGAGCGUUAAUCGGAAUUACUGGGCGUAAAGUGUGCGCAGGCGGCAGAGCAAGUCGAGUGUGAAAGCCCCGGGCUUAAUUUGGGAAUUGCGCUCGAAACUACUUUGCUGGAGUGUGGCAGAGGAAGGUGGAAUUCCACGUGUAGCGGUGAAAUGCGUAGAGAUGUGGAGGAACACCAAUGGCGAAGGCAGUUUGCUAGGCUGAUUCAGACACUGAGAUGUGAAAGCGUGGGGAGCGAACGGG
rnacentral:rRNA from 1 species